rnacentral:rRNA from 1 species
CGUGUAGGCGGGAUUGCAAGUCAGAUGUGAAAACCGUGGGCUUAACCUGCGGCCUGCAUUUGAAACUGUAGUUCUUGAGUGCUGGAGAGGCAAAUGGAAUUCCUAGUGUAGCGGUGAAAUGCGUAGAUAUUAGGAAGAACACCAGUGGCGAAGGCGAUUUGCUGGACAGUAACUGACGCUGAGGCGCGAAAGCGUGGGGAGCAAACA